rnacentral:lncRNA from 1 species
GGCGGGUGCGCACGGGCCCUGUGAGCGAUCGCGGUGGGCUUGGGCUGGUGACGCGUGCGCCGGCCGGCCGCCGAGGGGCUACCGUUCUGCCUCCGACCGAAAUACUAGGCUUUAGAAUUUCACCAUAUGAAUUUUGGGAGAGAGGAGCACAGUUCAGCCCAUAACUAACACACGACGGAAUGAAGUUGAUAAUAGUGAGACCUUGUUGGUACAAGACUAUGUAACAUAACCUGCGCUUCUCAACAAAGAAUUGCUUUUCUGACUUCUGCACUCAAUAGCAAGACAAAUCUCUCCUCUGCCUUCUCCUUAUCAGACUACUCAACAUGAAGGCAAUAAGAAUGAAGACCUCUAUGUAUAAUAAUUGACUUCCACUUAAUAAAUAAGGUUACUUGGUACACUGGUCGACAAAACCUUGAAAUGUUGAUGUUUAAGGGCUGUUGAUUGCUGGCAGCAAAGAAGUCCAACUGUGCUGGUACCCGAGAUAGCGUCUCCACAUUUUCUUCCAGGAUCAUCACCUUUGUUCUAAAUAGCUCCCACAUAGUGUGAACAGAAGUCAUAUGUUUUAGAUUUUCUGCCUUGGCACCCAGGAAACCAGUAUGAUUGAGUAAACAUAUUAAACUUCCUCUGCAUUUCCAGCCUGAACAGAUGUUGAGUACAAGCUGAUCCACCUACGUUCAACCUGAGAGAGUCCACAUCCACAGACUGUUUCAUUUCCCUUUUUCAAUUUACAUAGAAGCAUAGAUUCUUGCUGGCAUAUACAAAUGCGCCAUUUAAGGCAAUCAAAAAUGGUUCCACAUCUCAUCUGAUUUCCACAAUUGUUGCUGUAACGAUGGACUACUGAGGAGAGAGACAAUUUCUCUGGCACAUCUUCCCACAUUUUAGCAACAUGUUCAUGGAGAGCCAAUAUUCAGUAAUUACAGCCCAAUUCCUCACAAUUUCACAAUUCGCUAACAAUAUGCAUUUUCACAAUGUAAAGCUGAUUUUCCUUUAACCAAAUCAAACAUGAAAAGAUAGCUGCAUGCAAUGGGCAAUCUAGAUCAUUAGAAGAUUGAUGUAAAAUUAGAGGACACUGAGACUGGAAUAGAUUGCAAACUUCAGGGAGCUCAGAAAACUUGUAAACUCUACAUUUUGAGGAAAUAUGUUGUCGAUGCUUUUGCAACUCUAUGCAGUAACUUAACAAAUAAAGCCUUAAAGUAACUUA